UGGGGAAUUUUGGACAAUGGGCGAAAGCCUGAUCCAGCAAUGCCGCGUGUGUGAAGAAGGCCUUCGGGUUGUAAAGCACUUUUGUCCGGAAAGAAAUCCUUGGCUCUAAUACAGUCGGGGGAUGACGGUACCGGAAGAAUAAGCACCGGCUAACUACGUGCCAGCAGCCGCGGUAAUACGUAGGGUGCAAGCGUUAAUCGGAAUUACUGGGCGUAAAGCUGCGCAGGCGGUUUGCUAAGACCGAUGUGAAAUCCCCGGGCUCAACCUGGGAACUGCAUUGGUGACUGGCAGGCUAGAGUAUGGCAGAGGGGGGUAGAAUUCCACGUGUAGCAGUGAAAUGCGUAGAGAUGUGGAGGAAUACCGAUGGCGAAGGCAGCCCCCUGGGCCAAUACUGACGCUCAUGCACGAAAGCGUGGGGGAGCAAACAGGAUUAGAUACCCUGGUAGUCCACGCCCUAAAACGAUGUCAACUAGUUGUUGGGGAUUCAUUUCCUUAGUAACGUAGCUAACGCGUGAAGUUGACCGCCUGGGGGAGUACGGUCGC
rnacentral:rRNA from 1 species